CCUACGGGAGGCAGCAGUGAGGAAUAUUGGUCAAUGGACGAGAGUCUGAACCAGCCAAGUAGCGUGAAGGAUGACUGCCCUAUGGGUUGUAAACUUCUUUUAUAAAGGAAUAAAACGAGGCACGUGUGCCUUUUUGCAUGUACUUUAUGAAUAAGGAUCGGCUAACUCCGUGCCAUCAGCCGCGGGAAUACGGAGGAUCCGAGCGUUAUCCGGAUUUAUUGGGGUGAAAGGGAGCGUAGAUGGGUUGUUAAGUCAGUUGUGAAAGUUUGCGGCUCAACCGUAAAAUUGCAAUUGAUACUGGCAGUCUUGAGUACAGUUGAGGUAGGCGGAAUUCGUGGUGUAGCGGUGAAAUGCUUAGAGAUCACGAAGAACCCCGAUUGCGAAGGCAGCUUACUAAACUGUGACUGACAUUGAUGCUCGAAAGUGUGGGUAUCAAACAUGAUUAGAUACCCUUGUAGUC
rnacentral:rRNA from 1 species